CGUUUUUCGGGAUUACUGGGGCGUAAAGCGCGCGUAGGGCGGUUUGUUAAGUCAGAUGUGAAAGCCCAGGGCUUAACCCUGGACGUGCAUUUGAAACUGGCUGACUUGAGUAUUGGAGGGGGUGGGGGAAUUCCCGGUGUAGAGGUGAAAUUCGUAGAUAUCGGGAGGAAUACCGGUGGCGAAGGCGACCACCUGGCCAAAUACUGACGCUGAGGUGCGAAGGCGUGGGGAGCAAACAGGAUUAGAUACCCUGGUAGUCCCCGCGGUAAACGAUGAGAACUAGGUGUUGGGACGGUUGAUCGUCUCAUUGCCGCAGCUAACGCAUUAAGUUCUCC
rnacentral:rRNA from 1 species